rnacentral:rRNA from 1 species
ACUUAAGCAUAUCAAUAAGCAGAGGAAAAGAAACUAACAAGGAUUCCCUUAGUAACUGCGAGUGAAGUGGGAAAAGCUCAAAUUUGUAAUCUGGCGGCUCUUUACCGUCCGAGUUGUAAUCUAGAGAAGUGCUACCUGUGCUGGACUGUGUACAAGUCUCCUGGAAUGGAGCAUCAUAGAGGGUGAGAAUCCCGUCUUUGACACAGACUGCCUGUGCAUUUAUGGUAUGCUCUCAAAGAGUCGAGUUGUUUGGGAAUGCAGCUCAAAAUGGGUGGUAAAUGCCAUCUAAAGCUAAAUAUUGGCGAGAGACCGAUAGCGAACAAGUACCGUGAGGGAAAGAUGAAAAGAACUUUGGAAAGAGAGUUAAACAGUACGUGAAAUUGCUGAAAGGGAAACGCUUGAAGUCAGUCACGUUGGCCUAGAAAUCAACCUUUGCUUUUGCUUGGUGUACUUUCUGGUCAAUGGGUCAGCAUCAAUUUUGACCACUGGAUAAAGUCUUUGGGAAUGUGGCAUCUUUUGGAUGUGUUAUAGCCCAUUGUCGCAUACAAGUGGUUGGGAUUGAGGAACUCAGCACGCUUCAAAGGCCGGGUUUUGACCACGUUCGUGCUUAGGAUGCUGGCAUAAUGGCUUUAAUCGACCCGUCUUGAAACACGGACCAAGGAGUCUAACAUGCAUGCGAGUGUUGGGGUGG